UACGUAGGGGUGCAAGCGUUAAUCGGAAUUACUGGGCGUAAAGAGUGCGUAGGCGGCUAUGUAAGACAGAAUGUGAAAUCCCUGGGCUUAACCUAGGAACUGCAUUUGUGACUGCAUGGCUAGAGUGUGGUGAGAGGGAGAUGGAAUUCCGCAUGUAGCAGUGAAAUGCGUGAGAUAUCAGGAGGAACACCGAUGGCGAAGGCAGGUCUCUGGGCAUUAACUGACGCUGGAGGAGCGGAAAGCAUGGGGAGCAACAGG
rnacentral:rRNA from 1 species